rnacentral:rRNA from 1 species
CAGCGCCACAAGUGGCAAUCACGUUUAUUGGGCCUAAAGCGUCCGUAGCCGGUUUAGCAAAUCUUUUGUGAAAUCGUCAGGCUUAACUUGACGAAUUGCAGAAGACACUACUAAACUAGGGACUGGGAGGAGUCAGAAGUAUUCUGGGGGGACCGGUAAAAUGGUAUAAGCCCCAGAGGACUACCGAUGGCGAAGGCAUCUGACCAGAACAGAUCCGACGGUGAGGGACGAAAGCCAGGGGAGCAAACCGGAUUAGAUACCCGAGUAGUCC